UGCCGAAACGUACCGAGCAGGUGCGUCUCUCAGAGGUGGCCUCCUGAGACUGAUGAUGGCGGGCUCUG
rnacentral:hammerhead_ribozyme from 2 species